rnacentral:snRNA from 1 species
AGAUGUAAAGGCAACCUGGCUACAACAUGUGUCACUUUUCCGAUUAUAAUGGUUGAUUCCACCGAUCUGGCUGGGUACAUGUGUCCCCUUCCUCCUUCACAGCUCCUUGGGCAUCCCUUCCAAAGCUGUGCACUCAGUUAAAGAGGCUAACUUUUCCCAAUAGAAGAGGAUCAUUUCCUCAGGCAAGGGUAUAUGAAUAGCUGCUUUCCCCUGUCAGAACCUCCAAACAAGCUACCAGGAACAGCUUAGGCCAUAAGGUGACAUCUUAUCUCAAAAAAAAAAAAAAAAAAUCUAUAGAAAAUGACACUAU